AGAACGAACGCUGGCGGCAUGCCUAAUACAUGCAAGUCGAACGAACUCUUCGGAGUUAGUGGCGCACGGGUGCGUAACGCGUGGGAAUCUGCCCUUGGGUUCGGAAUAACAGUUGGAAACGACUGCUAAUACCGGAUGAUGACGAAAGUCCAAAGAUUUAUCGCCCAGGGAUGAGCCCGCGUAGGAUUAGCUAGUUGGUGAGGUAAGGCUCACCAGGCGACGAUCCUUAGCUGGUCUGAGAGGAUGAUCAGCCACACGUGGGACUGACGACCGACGGACCCAGACCUCCGUACGGGAGGCAGCGAAGGUAGGAAUAGUAGGACAAGUCGGGCGAC
rnacentral:rRNA from 1 species